rnacentral:snoRNA from 1 species
GGCAGGAUCAGUCCCCGAGACGGCCGUAGGCCGCCUAUGAAAGGGGCUCCGGACAACUACGCAA